GAUGAACGCUGGCGGCGUGCUUAACACAUGCAAGUCGAGCGAAGCAGUUAAGUUGAUUUCUUCGGAUUGAUUCUUAAUUGACUGAGCGGCGGACGGGUGAGUAACGCGUGGGUGACCUGCCCCAUACCGGGGGAUAACAGCUGGAAACGGCUGCUAAUACCGCAUAAGCGCACAGAGCUGCAUGGCUCGGUGUGAAAAACUCCGGUGGUAUGGGAUGGGCCCGCGUCUGAUUAGGCAGUUGGCGGGGUAACGGCCCACCAAACCGACGCUCAGUAGCCGGCCUGAGAGGGCGGCCGGCCACAUGUGGACUGAGACACGGCCCAAACUGCUACGGGAGGCAGCAGUGGGGAAUAUUGCACAAUGGGGGAAACCCUGAUGCAGCGGCGCCGCGUGAGCGAAGAAGUAUUUCGGUAUGUAAAGCUCUAUCAGCAGGGAAGAUAAUGACGGUACCUGACUAAGAAGCCCCGGCUAACUACGUGCCAGCCGCCGCGGUAA
rnacentral:rRNA from 1 species